GUGAAAACGGGGUUGUGGGAAAGCUAUACAAGUGUCGUGCUGCUAGGCGAAGCAGCAUAGAAUGCUGCACCCUAGAUGGCGAAAGUCCAGUAGCCGAAAGCAUCACUAGCUUACGCUCUGACCCGAGUAGCAUGGGGCACGUGGAAUCCCGUGUGAAUCAGCAAGGACCACCUUGCAAGGCUAAAUACUCCUGGGUGACCGAUAGUGACUACCAACUCGUGCGUUGGACUAUAUAUUAUGGGUGGUCCGAUAGCGGUCCGAUAGUGGGUGGCCUGAUAAGCCCAACAAAUACUCACUAGGAUAGGCUCGAAAAGGCUCUGAUACCAUAUUACGAAGUGAACUUUAAGCCUAACUCAACCCCAUAAAACCGGCUCAUGAGAUUAAGGUUUGCACCCACUUAUAUACAAUGAAAGGCUCUAAUCUCUAGUCGAUGUGGGAUAUCCAACCCAACAUACAAUUUUAAUAGUUAAGUUACACUAAAAAAUAUAUUAAACAAAUUCAAACUUAUAACACAAUAACCAUAAUUAUAUUAAAACAAUUACGUCAUUUGCUUCAUUCUCAAUAUUUGUAUAUCAUUAAUUUUGAUCUAUUACUACUAUAAAACUAAAAAAAGAGGAAUAUAAUAACGAAAAGAGAAAGAAAAAGAAUAAGAUGAGAACAAACUCUAAGAAAAUAUAUAUUUUCUAAUCUCUUUGCUCUUUUCUGCAACAAUGCCGGAACGCAUUCAUUCUCCUUGUCGACACCCACAUCAACAAUGACAUUAAAAUAACUCCGUACCUGUGCAAAAAUUUAGAUGCUCUGUAUUAAAGUAACAAUUUGAUAUAUUCUGCUUCUCUGUCGUUUUCCUCUUCCACCUUCACUUGCUGUAUGAAAAUGAAAAACAGAGUAAAAAAUAAAAAAAGAGGAACAUUAACAAUUAAGCAAUCAUAAUUUAUGCAAUUUAUAUUAAUUGAUCAAAAUAAAAUAAUAAAAAAUACCUUUAGAUUGACGAGAAUGAAAAAAAAAACUAAAUUUUGGUGGUUUCCAUUCAUUUUUUUAUGUUUCUUUUUUUUUUCUUUUUUUCUCGCUUCAAUCUUUUUUUUUCACACUUCUCUCAAAAGUUUGCCUUGUUGCCCGUUUGACUGCUAUCAAUUCAGGUUUCUAUUUAAAAUUUUAUUUGACUCAUUCUUUUCAAAUAAAUGUAUUACACCUUUCUCAAAUAGUUCAUUUCAAAUUUAAUAUUAACUAUAUUUCUUAUUGUAAAUUUAAGUAAUUAUAAAAUAAUGAAAUAAUCAAAAUAAAAGAAUAAAAUAAAAUAUUUAUAUAUAAAUAAAUUUGUGUAAAAAAAAGUUAUAAUAAAGAAUCCAUUUAUAUAUAUAUAUACAUAUAUAUAUCGUGUUAUAGACAGAAAAAUAAGUAAAAUGAAACAAAUAACUAUUUUAUUACAAUAAAAAAAUAUUUUUAUUUCUCCUAGAUAAUCUUAAAAGAGAUAUUUUAAGAAAUAUUUAAUUAUCAACUUUACUGUAUUCAUUGCUAUAAAGUUCUAAAAAAAUAGUGUAUAUUUUGUCUCAUUGCUUUUAUUUUUUAUUUUAAUCUUCAUCUUCAUUCUGCUUUCUCCAACUCUCUACGACACAUUUAUGACUCAUUAUUUAUAUUGCUUUUGAAAUAUAUGUCGUGUUUUUUUGUGGUAGUGUUCUGUUAAAUCAUUCGUAACUGUUAUUAUUUUUCACAGCUAUAAUAAUCUAUAAAAAAAAAUUAAAAAAAUUGUCUUUAUUACUCAAAUUCAAGUUUUGUAAUUGAAUUAAAAGAUUAUUGUUAAUAAAAUACACUUCCUUAAAAACAAAUAACUUUAAGUGUAUUGGAAUAAUGAUAUUAGUUCUUAAAUUUCAGUAUUUUUUUAUUUAUUAAAAUUUAGUGUUAAAAAUAGUUUAUGCAUUUUUUUUAAUUUUUUUUUUCUCUAGUCCCAACUUUAUAUCUUAUGAGUAUAUGUAAUAAAGAAACUAUUGAAAUCAGUCAUUAUCUGUAACAAACAAAUCUCUACCAUGAAUUGUAUUGUAAUAUUAUAAGAUUCAUGUUAGCAUUGGAAAUUCGUCUAUCACAUAAAAAAAUGACAAUGACCUAUUUUAGUAAAUUUUUUACUAUAAAUAAUAAAAAAAUUGUACUAAUAGGUAUGUGCGACUGAGACCAUGUCUCGAUCUCGAUCAUCACACCGACGGGCACCACACAUCCAAUUAUGCUAAAGUAGAAUUAUUGAGGCUAAUCAGUAAUCAAGAGACACUUCUAAACAUGACUCAAGUUCUCUAAAACCUGUCUUAAUAAGAAAGGUCUACCACAAUUAUAUAAAUAGACACAAAAUCCAAAAACCAUGUAUGUCAAUAUAUAGUGCUCAGAAUACUGAGUGUCAAAUGCUAUAUCUGGCUUGAGCGUCAAAAUGUCUUUUGUAGGUACCAUCCGAUAGUUCUUAACUGCGAAAGCCGAUGAAUGAAGUGGGUAGAGGAGAUGAACGAGUUUGUUUGGAGGGAAACUGAAGUGCAAACCGAUCGACCGACGAAGAAGCAAAGGAGUAGCUCCAAUAGUUCUCUAGACCCCAACCCGUUUGAGAACAAAAUAUAAAAUUUAAAUUAAAAAAAAUAAAUUAACAUGCCAAGAACAUAAUCCUAAAAUUUAAUAUAAUAAUUCUGAAUCUAACAAAUUGGUGAAGUUGGAGAUUCAAGAUUUGGCAAUUUACAAAUAAACUAAUAGAUGAAGACAAAAAGUUGUGGCAGUGAUGAAGUUACUGAGUAUAAUAUUGGUUGAAGAAAGAGUUUGUCUAUGUAUUGGUUUAGCUUUGCACAUUCUUCUACCAUUAUAAGAAUCUCUUAAAGCCUGUAACAUUAUUUUUUUUUGGGACAGUAUCACACGUGUGAAUCUGGGCAGCACCACACGUGUGACAAGAAAAAUUAUCUCCCUUUCAAUAACCAAUCAAUCAUGUCAAUGCUUCAAAACUUAUUUUUAUUGGUGUAGUUGUUUUUUAAAAUUAAAAUAUCACAAGUAUCAAUUUAAUGACAACUUAUUAUAAUUUUUAUAAACCUAAUAUAUAAUAUAUCUUUUAUACCAGGUAGAACCAUAAAAUAAAAGUUAAGAUAGUUUUUUACCGUAAAAAAAUAAUUAAAAUCAAUAUAAAACCAAGUUUAAUUAAAUUUUAAGUCUUUUAUUAAUUCAGAUAUUUUUAAUUGAAUUAAAAAAAACAUUUGAUUUAAAAAGUGUUUAAAAAACUCACUUAUCUCUACAUUUUAAUAAAUAAGAAAUUUUGUAACUAAUAUUUAAAAUUGUAUUGGAUAACAAAUGACUGUGUCAUCAUUUACAUUAAUAGUGGUGACAAGAGUCUUUUGAUCAUGGUAAAUGAUGACAUGAAAGUUAUUAGUGAACACGAUAAUUUUGAACUGUGAUUAUCUUUUAUAUCAAUAGUGACGACGGCGAAAGUGUCUUAAUUAUUGUUCAUUGUUAUAUUUUUUCUAUUUGAACUUUUUUACAUACAAAUUUAUGAUUUAGGGUUUAGAAUUUAGGGUUAUUGCUCAUCCACAAACCCUAAACCCUACAAACUUUAAACUCUAAACCUUAAAACUUAAAUCCUAGAACAUAAAUCCUAAACUUUCCACCGGUAAAAAUCAAUAUCGUCCUCACUUGGAUCAAAUAAAGCUUUGAGUUCUUCAAUGUUAUCAAGCUUUUGAUCUAUACCCUAUUUUAUUUAAGGACACGUUUGUCAUUUGCAAAUAAAAAUCUGGUGGGGUGCGGGUGCAGAAAGUAAUUGUCUUUGAUGGAGUAACCGUUAGCCCAAAAUUUUGGAUACACAUUUCCUCCUUUUUAUUGGCCAUCUACUUCUAUUCCAUUGAAGAACAAAAAUAGAAUAAUGAAAUAAUUGAAUAAUAAACAGGAAUACUGUAUCAAAGUUCGUUAUUUAAUUAUCUGACACAAAUUAAAUAUCAAUAAAAUCCAUGUACACUUCUUAUUAAUAACUUAGUUAAAAAAACAAAAAUAAAUGUUAAAUAAGAAAAAUAUAUAAAAUAAAUUCGACCUUAGACCUCUUUAAAUUAGUGUCAUUAACUAAUUUAAACUAUAAAUUCUACAUUAGAUAAAAGUACAUUAAUUGAUAACUGAUAACAAAAUUGAAAAAUGAAAAUAUUAAAAAAAAUAUAUUUAUUUAGACAAAAUAUUCAUAUAUAGUUUUUUUUUUAUAAAAAAUUUUCAUGUUAGAUAUCACUAUUCAACUCAGUAAGACUGACCUGAAAUAAAAAAAAAAUACUCGUAUGAUUUAUGAUCAAUAUUCAUUUGCAACUUGAACUUGAUAUGAGGUUAUAAUAAUAUAUAAGUUUGAAACCUGAAAUGUAGUGUUUCUGUGAUUGGACCAAACCCUAGUUGAACACAUGUGUGGCAGAUGUAAGAAAUAUUAACAUAGGAGAACAAAGAUGUGAAACAUUUUGAUUUUGUCGUAUUAUUAAACCUUAUUGUUACGUAUAUUAUGUAACCCUAAUUCAACUUACUAUAUACUAUACUACUAUUGGACCAUUAUUAUUUUGGCCGGCUUUAAAUUGAUGAUGAUAGCAUUUUUAUUUUAUAUUAUUUUCAUCACCACAAUAAAUAAUAAAUAAUAAAUAAUCCAAUGCAAACCUUUUUCAUUAAUAAAAAUUAAAAAAUAAAUAUACAUGGAUAGUACGAAAGUCUUUAGUGUUCUAUCAUCAAAUUAUUAUGCAUAGUUUAUUAGGUUUUAUGACAAUUAUUUGAAAAUCAUGACAAUAACCUUUUUUCUAUUAUUAAUUUAGAGUGUAGAAAUAUCUACACUAACAAUCCAUGCGUGGAAUUUUAAUUUAAAAAACUAGUAGUUUUUUUUUAUGUCUAAUAAAUACAUAUAAUCAUUCAUGAUUAUUUUGUUAACAAUUUGAUUGGACUGUAAUUAUUAAUGAAAAAAUUAUUAUUAUAUUUUUAACAAUUCUUUUUCCUUGUCAACAUAAUUUAUUUAUUUAUAUAUAUAUAUAUAUAUAUAUAUAUAUAUAUACACACACAAAUACGCGCAUUUAUUUCACUAACAAAUAUUUGUUUAUAAUAAUUAUUUUAAUAUUUACGUAUAAAACACUUUUAAUUAAUUUAAUUUUAAAACUUAAGUGACAAUAAAAUGCUUAAAGAAACAAUAAUAUAGAUUGAACUUAUUUUUUCCAAAUUUUAAAAUACUUGUUCCAACAAACUUCUACCAUUCACAUCCCUAAAUAUUAGUUUAAAACAAUAUAAAUUAGUUUCAUUUGGAAGUAGAAAACACUAAAAAAUUAAACAUUUAAAGUUGAAGUUAAAAGAAUAACCAUUUAGAAAGAUUUUACCCUAUUAUUAUUGUUAUUGUCAUCAUACUUUUAGGCACCAACAAUGGCAAUAAAUAACUAUAAUUCAUAUUAAAACAAUGGUGAUAACCAAUUUGACAACAACAUUGACACAUCAUUCAUGGAGUAUAACUCAAUUCUCAAAAUAAAAUAUAUAACUAUGUUAUGCUAAGUAUUGUGAAAACUUUUUAAUUUGACCUAUAAAGAAAUAAAAAUUGUAAUUUUUUUAAUAAAAAGAAAAUGUUGAAAAAGAUAAUUAGGAGAGUAAAAAAAGUUAUAUAGAGAUGAGUAGCAGUGGGACAGGUGUAGAGGGUGCAAAAACACAAAUUCAAAUAUGCCUUUUGCAUGCAAGAUUUGGGUUAAGAAACUUAAAUUAACCUCAUAAAAGUUAAACUGAAUUAAGAAGAGAAAGAAAAAAGAUAUAAAAUAUUGAGAAGCAACAGAGCAGAAACACCUAUAGCAUUGGUCCACCACCAUCACCAUUCACCACCUCAAUUCAUCAGCAGAGGUAGCAGGGAAGGAAGGGACAAGAGAACGCAGCGUACCCUCUAAACCCUUUACAAGCAAAACAACAAACAACACACACCCUCUGUUCCCAGGUGCUUUUUUCUAUGUUUUUUUUUUUUUAAUUUUUUUUUUUCAAAUUCUCAUUCAUUUGCCGUUUUAUUGGGACCCCAUUUCCCCCUUUCGUUCCAGCAGGGCCUGGAAAUUCGUUCUGGGACUUAAAUGCCAGAUCUCGAUGGCAAUUGGCAAUUGGGGUUUCCUCUGAAAAAUUCCCACUUCGCAAAAACCUUUCUUUUUUGUUUUUAUCUUCGGUUGGGUGAAAAUUACUGCUGCCCUUUUCGUUGAUUGGUUGUGGGUGUUUGGGGUUUUCUGCAGUGGCUUUGGAUCGGUGAUUGGGAAAAUCUCGAGAAGCUUUGGUGUUUGCGGUAUUUUCUGGGAACAUCUCUCCUAGGUUUCGUUGUUUUCAAGGAACAAAAAAGUUAGACAAAUUUAUCGGCUUUGAUUGCCGAGGGUUUUUUGUUCUGGAGGAAACAAACACUUAUGCUUCCGGUUUUGUUUCGGUUUUCUGUUUUAUUCAGGUAUAAUACAAACACAACGGUGGCAUAAUGCCACCACUUUGUUAUGCCUGAUACGAGGUAAGCUUUUCGAUUUCUCUUCAACAUGGUCAAUUUUUUCUCUCUUUCUUUUAAUGUUUGCUGUGGAAAUAUGUUUUGAAGACUUUAUUUUGGAAUGAAAGCUCUUGUGUUUUGCUUUUUUUUUUUUUUUUUUUUCUGAAGCUUGUUCUGUGUUUUUGUUUGUUGGGUUGAGUUUAGGUUGGAAGGGGCUUGAGAAUGGCAGACACAAAUUCAGUUGAAGUGAUUUUGGAUUUUCUGAGGAGGAAUAGGUUCACCCGAGCUGAGGCGGCUUUGCGUAGUGAGCUCAGUAACUGUUCUGAUGUGAAUGGUUUCUUGCAGAAGCUUACAUUGGAAGAAAAGGACUUGCGUGGCGGGUUGCAGAAUGAUAAGGGGAAGCCUGUAGUAGAAAAUCAUGGGUUGGAUUCUCGUGACGGUGUUGAAGUUUCUAAAGAACUGAUUGUGAAGGAAAUAGAAUGUGGGACUGGUAGAAAUGCUGCAGAAGAAAGCAAAUGGAAAACUGUUGCUCCCACAGGGGAAAGGAACAAGUCUAGUGAAGUUGUUGGGACGAGUGAAAAAAACUUUACUUUCUCAAAGGGUUCGGAGGACAGUGUUCUUGAUUUGUACUCGUGGAAGUUUAAUCCCAGCAAUGGUCCUGUGGAACCUUACCAAAACGAUAGUGGAAGUAGACCGAGUAAUGCUUUGAAGGCCCCCAUAUCUCAACAAUCAAAGUAUCAAACUGGUGAAGCUCCUGAUGCAACCAACAGUAAUGUGAAAUCUGGGGAGGCAAAUAAUGUACCUGCUGAAAAGACAACUUUGUGGCUUGGAAGUAGUGGUAAAGCCUCUACAGAACCGAAGUAUGACUUUAUGCCUAAUAAAGAACCUAAGGAACAUGAUCUGCAGCUCAAAUUUAAUGCUUCAUCUCUUAAAGAGAACUUGAUAGAUAAUCACUUGUCAAGGACUGAUGAGAAUGUGAGUUCAUCUACAGAUCUAUGGAAAGAUUGUUCUGUGAAGACUGUUUUCCCUUUCUCAAAGGGGGAUAUGUCUACAAGCUACAACGGUUCAACUUAUUCUGACAGACAAGAGGAGAAGAGAAGGGCAGAAAAUGGUGAUGUCAUGACGUCAAUAAAAGAGCAAGUGGAUGAAGUAGGAAGAGCUCUUUACUUAGGAAAGUUGCAAGGCAGUUCUGGCAGCUUAAAUUUUCCUCUUGCACUGGAGAAUCCAAAGGAAGAGUUUCCUAGGCUUCCUCCUGUAAAAAUCAAGUCAGAAGAUAAGCCCUUGACUUUUAAUUGGGGAGAUAAGUUUGAGUCUGACGGACUGGCUGUGAAACUCGCUGGUGCCGACAACUCCUUACUUAUUGGGUCAUAUUUGGAUGUCCCUAUUGGACAAGACAUUAAAACUACAGGUUAACAUUUUGCAGUCAUUGUUAACUUAUCAAUUUUCUUGGCAUUUUAAUUAGUUGUUUACUCUUUGGGUCAAAUUUUCUGUUUCAUUUGUUUGUUUAUCAUGCUGAUAGUUUAGCAUGUUAAUUGGUAAUUUUCCUCUUUUUUGGCUUGUAUAUGUUCCUCUAAGAGUGAUCCUAUUUGGCUUCUUUCUGGUAUUAAGUUUGUAUGUUUGACAAGUGUUGAUACAUCAAGUUUUGAACUAGUACUUACCAUUUUGCCUGCAGUUAAAGAGGGUAAAGUUUAUGUUUGGUGUGGCCAUGAUCAUUGUGUUUACUUGACUUCAAUUCAACUGAUGAUUUGUCCAAUUCAUGCCAUGGAUUUUUUCUGCAAAUUUAAGUCUCUUGAAUGUUUGUGAUUUGAACUCCUAUUUCAAUGAUAUUUAGUUUGUGAAAAGAAUUAGUCGCCUUAAUGUCAACGAUCUCAUUUGUUCUUGUUAAAAAAUGUAUUGAUUUGGAAAAAGUAAUUUAAACAUUCAAUAUUAUCGUAUUUUGUCUUCUGAAACUUUUUCUUUGUCCUUUAUUAUCUGUUUCAGAUAGGAAGAUUUUCCCUCUUUGCUAAAUGACAAUGACAUUAAUGCUUUUGCUUGGGCUGUUUUGCCAGAAUUAACAUCAACAAUUUGUGCAUAUUCAAAUAUUGACUUUUUGAUAUAUUUUUCAGGUGUGAGGAAGGCUAUAGGGGGCAGUUGGCUGUCUGUAAGUCAAGGGAUUUCAGAGGAUACAUCUGAUCUUGUAUCAGGUUUUGCAACAAUUGGGGAUGGGUUGAGUGAAUCUCUUGAUUAUCCAAAUGAAUAUUGGGACUCUGAUGAAUAUGAUGAUGAUGAAGAUGUUGGGUACAUGAGACAACCCAUUGAGGAUGAGGCCUGGUUUUUGGCACACGAAAUUGAUUACCCCAGUGACAAUGAAAAGGGGACGGGGCAUGGAAGUGUUCCAGAUCCUCAGGAAAGAGGUCCAGCCAAAGAUGAAGAGGAUGAUCAAUCUUUUGCUGAGGAGGAUUCUUAUUUCUCUGGUGAGCAAUAUAUUCUACCAAAAAAUGUUGAGCCAGUCAUUUCAGAUGAUCCUAUUGGUCUAACAAUUACUGAAAUGUAUGGAAGAACCAAUGGUAACGAUGUAAUGACUCAAUAUGAUACACAACUGAUGGACGUUGAAGAACUGAAUCUGAUGCAUAUAGAACCUGUCAGGCAGGGCUUUGUCACUCACCAAAAUGAUCUUAUCAUGCUGGGAGAUGGGCAGGUUCUGAAUCAUAGUGCGAGGCCACGAAUUGAGGACAUGGAAGAUGAUCAGCACGGUUCAGUUAGAUCAAUUGGAGUGGGGAUCAACAGUGAUGCUGCUGAUAUUGGUAGUGAAGUGCAUGGAAGUUUGAUUGGUGGUAGUAGUGAGGGGGAUUUAGAAUAUUUUCGUGAUCAUGAUACUGUGCGCAGUGGCUCCAAACACACUCAUCAGGAUUUGGACAAGAGUUCUUUUAACAAAUCAGGAAAAAAUAACAAGAAAAAUGACAAGAAUGAAUCAAAUAAAUAUGUCAUAGACAGUGAUAAAGAUGCAUGCUCGCAGAUAAAAACACAUACUGAUGGGAACUUUUCAUUCCCUCAAUCUCUUAGAGAUGGCCAGAUGAUUUCGGCUGGCUCCAGUAAGUCCCUAUUUUCGAGUAAUUGUAAUGUAGAUGAAACAGAAGACUGUCUUAAUGCCUUUGUGGGCUCUGAUGACAUGCUUUCUUCUUGGAGGCGGAAGAGUAGUGAUUCUUCGCCUGUUAAAAGUUCUAGGGAUGAUAAUAAUGCUAUUGUGGUAAGAUCCAGAAACUCUUCUCCAACUACGGUCUCAAAUUAUGGGUAUACUGAUGGAGAGCAUGUCAAGCUAGAAAAGGAUGAAAAGAUAAGUGUGGUAAGGGAAGACGAUAUAGGUGCAUCACUAGAGGAUGAGGAGGCAGCUGCUGUGCAAGAGCAGGUAAGGCAAAUAAAGGCUCAAGAGGAAGAAUUUGAAACCUUCAAUCUAAAGAUCGUGCACAGGAAAAACAGGCAUGUUUUAAAUAUUUCAUUUUUACUAUUUUUGUUAACUCAACAAUGUAGUUGAGGAAAUUAGCACUAUAGAUUCUUUUAUGAUAAUACAAUAUAGAAGUUUAAAACUAUUGAAAUAUGGUAUAAGCUUUGUAAAUCAUUCCAAUUUCUUUUUAACUUGACAACUAUUCAUUCUAUCUCUCAUCACUUGUGAAUUCCUAUUAUAUUAAUUGAUUUGUGUCACAGACAUCUUUAUGAAACUUUAGACACAUGGACAUUCGUAAUAGUAAAUGUAAACAACAUUUUGUGAACAUUUGGUUCUGUUAACAAUGGAAAAUAAACAUUACCAUGACAACAAAUCUACUAUUUCCCUUUUUGAAAUCUCCACCACUUUUAUAAAAUUUGGAACAGGGUAUAUUUUAUGAUUUGUGUGAAAAACAUGCAUUAUUUGUCAUUUUAUUUGUCGUGUACAUCUCUUUGUUCCUUCAUUAGUAGUCAUGAAAUUAACUCAAUCAAAAUGUCUGUGUAUAAUAAUGCUGUCUUCUUAGUUGGUGCUGUGCUUGAUCAUUUAAUUGCAUGCUCUAGACUUGUUGAUAAUUGUUGCAAAUACCUGAAGUUGUUUUAAUCCUGUUAUUCUUACAUUUUGUGAGACGAAGCUACUGUUAUGGGUACAAUAUAACAUACAUGUCUUGAUAAUUCUCUAUGAAACUUAUUGUUUAGAUGGUAAGAUUCUUUCCCCCAUCCCAUGGAAAGUUAUAUGCUGAUGUGUACAGAGCUUUAGAAGUGUUAACUUUUGUGCUAUGUUAGGAGGCCACCAUGAGAUUGUCAUUUUAGAUACUAAUCUUAUGUUGCAAAGUCAGCAUUCUUCUUGUUCCUUUUGACCGUUUGGCAUGCUAACUGAACCCAAUUCUUGUUGCUCAGAACUGGCUUUGAGGAGGACAAGAAUUUCCAUGUUGUUUUAAAUUCUGUAAUAGCUGGGCGCUAUCAUGUCACCGAGUAUCUUGGAUCUGCUGCAUUUAGCAAAGCUAUACAAGCUCAUGACCUGCACACAGGCAUGGAUGUCUGUGUUAAGAUUAUAAAGAACAACAAAGAUUUCUUUGACCAAAGCCUUGAUGAGAUCAAGCUUCUUAAGUAUGUCAAUAAGCAUGAUCCUUCAGACAAGUUCCACCUUCUAAGAUUGUAUGAUUAUUUCUAUUAUAGAGUAAGUGAUUUUGGAUGUGCUAUUGUUUUACUUAUUAUUAUUAGUUUUUUUCUUUCAAUCAAUAGUUGAUUUAUGCAUAUUUCUGGGUACUAUCAAGAGUCUAACAUCCAUGAAUAGGUAUAGUUUAUUUUGGAUGCUAAUGGUUUUUGUUUGUCACUUUCUCUAUAUUUAUGUGCACUAUGUAACGAUAACACAUUUGUUGAUUUGUCAUUUUUAACUAAAGCCAUUGAACUUAAUGUUUAUAGCUCUGGCAAGUUUCAAUACUUUCCAGGAUUAUGAUAUUUAGUAUAACUAUCAGCACUGCCUUCAAAUUUUAAAAAUUUAAAUCUGGCCUAACCUUUUAAUCGAUAGUCAAAGUGAUAGCGAUAAAUAUCUGUUAUCAUCUGACUUUACUAUCUCUUGUAAUGCAGGAACACUUGUUAAUAGUAUGUGAACUGCUUAAAGCCAACUUAUAUGAGUUUCACAAAUUUAAUCGAGAAUCAGGGGGGGAAGUUUAUUUCACGAUGCCAAGGUUGCAGGUUUGUGGUGUGCUGUUUGUAAUAGAUCUAUAGUUUUCAUCCUUUCUGCUAGUAUAACACUGUCAUUAUAAACACUUUUCAACUUAUGUGUGCAGUCCAUCACCAUUCAGUGUUUGGAGGCACUUCAGUUUUUGCACAGUCUUGGACUAAUACAUUGUGACUUGAAGCCAGAGAAUAUUUUGGUUAAAAGCUAUAGCAGAUGUGAAGUGAAGGUUAUUGAUCUCGGAAGUAGUUGUUUUGAGACAGAUCACCUUUGCUCGUAUGUUCAGUCCAGGUCUUAUCGUGCUCCUGAGGUUAUUUUGGGGCUUCCAUACGACAAGAAGAUUGAUAUCUGGUCACUUGGAUGCAUCUUGGCAGAACUUUGUACGGGCAAUGUAAGAUCAAUGUUAUGCAUUUCAAAAUGCUAUGAAGUUUUUCAUACUUGAAGCGUUCAAAGAUUUACUCCAAAUUUCCUGUGGGAAGUACAUAAAAUAAUAUAUCCUUAACUUGUGCUUAAAGCAAAUGACUAUACGUCUAAAUCUCCCUAAUGAUGGAUCUUUGGAACCUGAUAUAAGCUUUAUCUCUUAUAUUGAAGUGCAUUUUUUUCUUUGUUGAAUACAAAUACAUGCAUAAUACUCUCUUUUCUCACUCAACCAUGUGUGAUACAGGUCCUCUUCCAAAAUGAUUCUCCUGCAACAUUACUUGCUCGGGUGAUCGGGAUCAUUGGCCCAGUUGAUCAAAGUUUACUUGCCAAAGGACGUGAUACAUAUAAAUACUUCACAAAAAAUCAUAUGCUUUAUGAGCGGAAUCAGGUGAGAACAUCAUUUCUAAUUUUCUUAGUAUUUGAAUGAAACAGAUUUGUGUUAGGUAAUCUGAAGUCUUGAUGCUUAAGGAAAUGUACCUUCCUACUUGUCUUUAAACCUAGAGAGAGGUUCCUAUGUUUCUAACGAAGUAUUUUCUAUCAUCUAUAUUAUUUUUACCACUUCUGAAACUUUGGCUUUUAACUGAACCAAAUGAUAUCAUGUGAUCCACAUCUUCUUGUUCUCACCCACUAUAGUGCUUCUACCACACUAUUUAUUCUCUUCCUAUGCUAAAUUAAAGUACCACCAUUACCCUUUUGCAUUUUACUUUCUUCAAAUAAUUUGACAGUACUAUUCAUUAAUGAUACACAGGAAAGCAACAGGUUAGAAUACCUGAUUCCAAAAAAGACCUCAUUGAGGCAUAGAUUACCAAUGGGAGACCAAGGCUUCAUCGACUUUGUUGCCCAUUUGCUCGAGGUUAACCCAAAGAAGCGACCUUCUGCAUCUGAGGCCCUGAAGCACCCAUGGUUAUCAUACCCUUAUGAACCAAUAUCAUCUUAAAGAAUUUGCAGAUUUUCUCUCUCUCAGUGAUAAUGCGUCGAAUUACCCUAAGCCGGGUAAGUUAAGUUGUCGAAAGGGAAAGGCACCACCAUACAUGCUUGCAGCUUUUCAUUAUCUAUUUUAGAGAUGAUAUGGAAAGAGUUGUGCACUUUCACAUUCCUGCAUGAUUGAUGAUGCAUUGAAAGGUGUUUGGUUUUGUGGGUAAUACUCGUCUUUCCCAUCAAUGAUGUAAUUUAGCAUGUAAGAUGUAAUGUUAUUAUGCUGUUGAUUUCUUUUCUUUGGUUGGUCUUGUUGAAAAGGGAAUCCUUGAAAUAUUGAUUGUACAUGAUGUGGGAUAAUUCAUUUAGUCAUUAGUAGUAUUUUUAGCAUGUUUGGUUUCACGUUGCGGAUGUGAUUUUUAACGUUAAUCAGAAGCUAAUAGGCUAUAGCUUCUACGUUCCAGAUGAGUUUCCAAACACGCAGUUUGUGACAUAGCACUUAUUAGAUUUUGCAUGAGGUUUGAUAGCACCGUUGGAAGCACCAGUUAAAAGAAAAGCUGGUGGCAAUUGUGUUGCAAAUUUUCCUUUACCUUGUGUUGGAAGCAACCAAAGUGUAUCUUGAUGGUGUUGUGAGCUUCAUAGUGGUAGCAAAUGAGUUCAACAAAGUGUGGUAAUGGCAUCUUCAGGAAUGUGGUUAUUAAGCAUUUUGGUGCCUUUGGGCAACAGAACUUCUGAAGUUGCUGUUCCUUUCUCUUGUUUCUUCUUAGUAUCUUCCAUCAUUCUUGCACCGACCUAUGUGUUCUUGUUUAACGUUAUUUUCUUUGUAAAUAUCCUCUUUGCUGUAUAAUGUUACUUUCAAUGUUUGUUUUUCUCUUCAAAAGUAAUUCUUGUUUAUAUAUAAUAUAAAAAAAUGAAAGAAACACAUUUUUAAUGUAAAUAGACAAAUUUUUAAAACUUAUUCAACGAGUUUUCCUUGUGAUUUUGCAGUUUUUAGCAUUGUUUAAUUUAUAAGUGUUAGAAUGUGUGCAUUAGAAAUCACUUUGUGAAUAUUCUUCUGACUAAGCUCAAGGCUAAAAUUUACGUGUAUGUAGUUGAAAGAUAAUUUAGAUCUAUAUUUUGAAAUAUGUGAUUCAAAAUUAUAUAAUUUUGUUUGAAUUAUAUAAUUUAAAGUAUUGUUUUGGAAGAAUUAAUUUAAAAUCAUACUUUAGAUUAUGUAAUUAUAUCUUGGAUCAAUUUUAAUAUUAUGGAGGUGAGAAAAGAAAAUAGAGGUGGAGAUUUGUAAAGUGUGUGUUUUUUUUUAAUUUUGACUUACAAUACUUUUUUUGUGAUUUUAGUUUUUACAUUUUAGAAAAUUCAUGAUCUCAGUAUAAUUUUUAAUUUUAUAUAUGCUUUUUAUUUUUAUUUUUAUAAUUAACUAAAUUAUUUCUUGAUGUUACCUCAGACGAAUAUCUUAAAUCUAAGAUUCGAUUUAAAACCAAAUAAAAGAAUUAAAUAUAUUUAAAAUUAUAGAUCGAAUAAAAUUUAUGAAUUUUUUAAUCUUAUAUUAAAAUUGAAAAACAAAAAGUAAGAGGAUCAAAUUGAAAAAAAAAAGAAAUUAUAAUCCAUCACAAUGGAUAUAACCUCUUUUUAUUUGUUACACAAGCAACUGUGCUAUAUUUUUUACUUUUGAAUAUAUUAACUAUAUUGUAUUUUUGAAAUUGUUAUAAAAAAAGUUAUAUAUAAGUGGUUUAACAUGUUAAAUUCAAUGUCAUCUUUUGUUUGUGUAUUAUUUGAGCUUAAUCUUUGCUGAGAACUUAAAUUUUAUUUAUCUCCUAAUUGAAUUAGAAUAAUUUUAAGUAGAACUCUUAUAAGUUAUUAAUAAACAACUAUGGAAGAAGAAUAUAAAAUAAAUAAAUCUAUCUCGUAAGUUUAAAUUAAGUACUCUUUCAUUCAUCGUCCAACGCACAUUAACUUAAAAAUUAGGAAUAUAACUGUUUGAUUAAAUUACAUUAUUCUAUUAAUUCUGUUCAUUUUAAAAUAUUUAAUUUGAUAAUCCAAUUUUUAGUUGUCUUGCCAUCAACUCACAUCAACAGGUUAAAAAAUCAAACAAAAAGUAUUUUUUUAAUAUAAGAAUGAAAUUAAAUAUUUUAAAAAUGGAGAGAUUAGUUUAAAUAAUAUAUAAAUAAAAAGGAAACGAAGAACAAUUUGAUUAAUUUGGUUGAAUAUGAGGAAAGACUUUAUUAUUGAAGUUAACAAGUCAUUAAUUCAAAAAGGAAAAAUGGAAUAUGAUGAAGAGAUGAAAUAUUCAUAAAAUACAACAUGUCACUAAUUUUAUACAAUAUAUUUUAUUUUUUUCAAUGUCAUAUAAUUUUCAUCAUUACAUACUCCUUUAAAUAAAUAUUUGACAUUAAUUUUUUCAAAAAUUUAAUUAAUUUUUAAUUAAAAAUAACAUAAUAAAAUAAUUAACUUUUCGUCAAUUUAUACUAAUAAGCAUUAUUAUACACUUAGUCUAAAUAAUAACACUGUAAUGUAGGUGCACUAAGAAAAAAGAGAGGUACAGUAAGAAACUAUCGGAUAUUCAUUUAAAAAUAGACCCCGACCCAUUGGCCCAUUUCCAGUCCAACACUCCUGCUACACUGUUUUACUUUCUAUCACGUUUCGGACACUAUCAUUUCUUCACAUAUCUCCGUCGUUCAAAUUUCAAAAUGGAGCAAAACCCGCCGUCGGCGGCGGAGGCGGCGCCGUCAUCCGACGAACAAAAGCCUUCCUUAUUCCCUCUGUUCCCAUCCUCCUCCUCUCUCCAAACCACCACCACUUCUUCGACUCCUCAAUGGCUCUGCAACUCUAGCUUCACCACCGACCUCUCUGUCAUAAACGAUGCCUUCGCCUCUCAAAUCAACCGCGAAACCAGUCUAUCUCCGCCACAAAACGACGAGGACGAUGAAAAUCAUGCUGAGGCGCAUCCCCUCCCUUCUCGGUACGAGAUUCUGGAAUCUUCUGAAUCCGACGGAGGCGGAAGGGACAGAGAGAGGAAGAAAAGGAAGAAGAAGAAGAAGCGGAGGCGUGAUUCGUCUGCGGAGAGAGGCGGAUUCGACGGUUUUGGUUCGCGGAAGUCCCGUGUUCGAGUUUGGGCAGAUUCAGACAACAACGUUACCAAAGAUUAUUACUUUGAUUCUAACGGAGAUCGCGAUAAUCUGGCGUUUGGAUGCAUCUAUAGGUAUUUUAGAUGGAAUAUUUUGAAAUGGGAUUGAAUUUAAUGAUUUAGUUGUUGUUGGAUACCAAUGGCUUCUCAAUUGUUGCUUGGCAUGUAUUCAUUUAUAUGCAUCUGUGAAGAAUUGACGUUUUCGUUAUAAAUAGUGAGUUUUAGCUGUGUCUCAACGGGGACUAAAGAGGGAGUUUAGGUAGAGAUUGCGUUAAUGUGGCCUAAAAAUGAAAGAAAAUCACUUAUUGGAGUAGAGAAAGAAACGGGGUAGGCAAUUAAUGUCGUUGUUGUUCUUAGACUUCAGAAAUUUAGGGAUUUAUGUGAUGUGGCACAGAAAGGUAGUUUAGUUCCUGUUGAACUUUGACAUCUUGUUCACAGGUUGUCCCUGCUUCACUUCCUUUACAAACUGAUUAUGGGUUCAUGGUUAUUAUUUUUUGUUUCAUUAGUGAUGAAUGACAAUUCUUUGUAAAUACUAUGCAGAAUGGAUGUUGCCCGAUACAAAUCUUACAAUCCCUUGAAACUGUCUGGGCUACAUACUCGAGGUUUGUAUUGGUGGAAUAGGACGGGUUCACUCUGGGAUAGAGAUGGUGAUGUUGAUGCACUAGAUGCUAAAAUGAAGUCUGCUGGUCGUUACUGGUCUGGAAAGUAUAUGGCUUUGGAGAAACAUAAGAGCUUUAAGCGUAUUCAUCUUGUUGCUCCAAAACUGUCUUCUGUCACUAUGCAAGAUGAGUUUAUACCUUUAUCUGAAUCAGAUGCUGGGGCAUCUCAUGGAGCUGUUGACAGUGAUUCUGUCUCCAAAACUUCAGCACUGCUUGAAGAAUCUUGGGAAGAUGAAAUGUUAAACAAAACUAGGGAGUUCAACAAACUAACAAGGGAACACCCCCAUGAUGAAAAAGUUUGGUUAGCUUUUGCAGAGUUCCAAGAUAAAGUUGCAGGGAUGCAGCGGCAGAAAGGUGCUCGAUUGCAAACCCUUGAGAAGAAGAUUAGCAUUCUGGAGAAGGCAGUUGAGCUUAAUCCAGACAAUGAAGAGAUAUUGCUUUGCCUUCUGAAAGCUUAUCAGGUGAGAGACAGCUCGGAUGUGUUAAUUGCAAGAUGGGAGAAGAUACUUUUGCAACACUAUGGUAGUUGUAAGUUAUGGGGAGAAUUCUUGCUCACAGUUCAGAGAAAUUUCUCCAGAUUCAAGGUUUCAGAGGUCAGGAAGAUGUACGUACAUGCAAUUGAAGCUCUAUCUGCUUCAUGCAGCAAGCACUCUAGGCAGGUUCUCAACAUUUAUGCUUUAUCCUCUUUUUUGGUUUGUCUGCAAGAGUGAAUAUUUUCAAUUUAUUUUUAAUGUAUCUUCUUGAUUGCACAUGCGAUGUUAUUUUCUAUUUAGUGAAUGACCUGAUCCUCAUAUAUAGUUGCACUGGGAGAGAGAAAACUGAAGGAGGGAUCCUGUUCACCAAGCAACUACUUUUCCUUAACUUUUUACUUCCCUCUUUAAGUGGUUGGAAUUUGAAGGCAAGGGAAUUCAUGGUCUUAGAAUAAAACUUAUGUACAAGCAUUUUAUGCGCUGUAUGAACAAACAAAGUUGAAACAUCCUUUCAUUUUUGCUUUCAUUUUGAAGGUGUAUAAAGUAGUUGCUUUAUACAUCAUAGGUCACAGAGAUAAAAUGUUAGAACCAAACAACUUGACAUCAUUUGUGUGACCGUUUUCACGUAUUAAUUUAAUAUCUAGUGAAUAUUUUGUGAGAUCUUGAAAUUGUUCUAACAGGAAGCAUGAUUUGUUUUUAGCAGGUUCUUCAAGAUGCUGACCCUUCUUCACCAGAUCCUGCAUUUGUUCAGUUAGAACUUGGUCUUGUGGAUGUAUUUCUUAGUCUUUGCAGAUUUGAGUGGCAGGCUGGUUAUAGAGAAUUGGCCACAGCUUUAUUUCAGGCUGAAAUAGAGUUUAGCUUGUUUUGUCCUCCUUUGCUGCUCACUGAGCAGGGUAAACACAGACUGUUUGAGCAUUUUUGGAACAGUGGGGGUGCUAGAGUUGGGGAAGAAGGGGCUCUCGGUUGGUCCACAUGGUUGGAGAAAGAGGAGGAAACUAGGCAAAAAGUUAUAAAUGAGGAGCUCUCACGUGAAAAUGAAGGUGGUGGUUGGACUGGUUGGUCAGAACCUAGGUCCAAAGAUAAUGAGGGUAUUACUAUAGUUGAAAAUGAAGACAACAAUGAUGUGGUUACAGGGGAUACUCAAGAUGAAGAGGAAUUUAAUGAAGUUGAGACAGAAGUUGAUACUGAGAAUUUUCUGAAGAUGCUGGGUAUAGAUAUCAAUGAUGGGGAUAGUGGUGAAGUUAAUGACGCUUCAACUUGGAUCAAAUGGUCAAAAGAAGAGUCUUCUAGAGAUUGUGAUCAGUGGAUGCCUGUUCAUAGGAAAUCAAGUAGGAUCAUCUCUCGUUGCAUUAACUACUAUCCUUCUCUCUAAAUGUACUUUUUGUGUGUGCAUGGCUUUUCUUGAAUUUUGCUUUAUUGCUUUGAAAGAAAAUUUAAUUUUAUUACAAACAAGCUAUUUAUACAAGUGUGCUACAUAACAAUGAACAGAUACAACCUCUCCUGCUAGUGAGGCGCAGAAGACAGAUGAGGAUGAGCAACUCUUGAGAGUUGUAUUGUAUGAAGAUGUGAAUGAAUACUUGUUUUCCCUAAGAACAACAGAGGCUCGACUAUCGUUGUUGUACCAAUUCAUUGACUUCUAUGGUGGGAAGAUGUCUCAAUUGUGAGUUUUCUAACAUAGAUACCCUUUGUGCACCCUAGUUGAUGGUGGGAAUCAGUUUUUUAAAAGCUAGGAUGGAUUAGUAUAUGCUCUAGUAUACUAAUUGGUUAGGAAUCCAAUGUGCCAUGCUAGUUCGUUAACACAAAAUAGUUGGUUAACACAAAUGUGUGUUGCUAGAGUUACAAAUGCUUUUAGUGGCUCAAUCCUUCCGUGGUGAUUUAUUGCUUACACUUAUUCAUGUUAUUUGAAUUGAUGCCAUUGGUUUUGUAUCUUCUUUCUUUUGUAGGUUUUGCUCCAAUAGCCCAACAAUGGCAUACAGUAUCCGUAGUUUGGAGAAUCUGCCAGAUUCUAUGUUAGAGAAGUUGAAACGCAUACAUGAAGUUUUGACUAAAACACAGAAUAGUCCUACUGGUUUCAGUUUUGAUUUCCUAUCCGACAGUUUCUCAAGGAAUGCUGAUAUUAUGAAAUUUAUACGGAAUGCUGUUUUACUUUGCUUAACCGUUUUCCCACGUAAUUACAUGUUGGAAGAAGCUGUUCUUAUUUCUGAAGAGCUAUAUGUUACAAAAAUGAAUUCUUCUAACAGUAUGGUUACACCAUGUCGAUCUUUAGCAAAAUCUCUUCUAAAAAGUGAUCGACAGGUAUUGAUUUUCGUUGCUCUCUCUCUUGCUCCUUUUUUGUAAGAUAAAUGAAUGUGUUUAGCAAAUCUUUAGUAUCUACAACUAUAUCUAUUAAAAUGUUGUGAAAUAUCUAAAUUGAUAUUUUCAUUUAUUAUAUCUUUCAAUGUUUCUGUUACCAAAAUAUUUUCUUGCAAGUGCAGAACUGACAUUUUUGAAAUUUUAUUUGAAAACAAUAUAUGAUUUAUUUCUGUUCUGAUUAUUUAAAUUGCUGUGAAGGUGUCAUGGAUGAAAGGAGAGGCCAAAUGGAAUAAUUUUUAGUUUGUUGUGAUGAUUUUACUUUAGAGAUUUUAUAGUAGUUUUGGGAUAUAAAUCCUUGUAGGAUAAGAAGAUAUGGCUUAAUUAAGUUUUAAGCCACUCAUAACUUUAUGCAUUUUCAAUUGAGUUCAUAGAUUCUUUUUGUUUUAUUGAGUACUCAAAAAUUUUAUAGUUUCCAAUUGAGCCUUGCUUUUUUAGUUUUUUUUGUUAAGUGGGUAACAUAACAUAACUGUUAUCCUGUCCCAUCAUCUUGCCUGUCUCUAUGUACUAAGAAAUGUGAGGUUUUGUGAUUGAUACAAAAUGAUAUUGCCGUUAAUGUAAAAUGACAAGUGACUUUUAUUGCUUUAACUGAAAACGUAUUGGAUUACAAGGUUGUCAUGUUCCCCACUGGCUUUUCUGUCAUCAUCUACUGCGACCAAGGGACCGUUGCUAUCACCACCAUUGAUGUAGGUGACGGAGAGAGUCCUUGUUAUCCAAAAUGUUUUCAAUAAAAACAAUAAAAGUCACGUGUCUUUUUAUAUUAAUUGGAAUAUCAGUUUAUAUUAACCACAAAGUCUCCCUUUUUUAUUACAUCGAGUAAGCAAGAUGAUGGGACAAAAUAACAAUCACAUCAUCCAGUUAGUAAAAAAGUUAAAUUGUAGAGACUCAAUUGAAAAAUAUAAAUUUUUUUAGUACUCAAUAGACCAAAAACAUUUAAUAGAGACUUAAUUGAAAAUACUCAAAUUUAGGAGGAAUUUGAAAUUUAAUUAAGCCAAAAGAUAAUUAUAUUCUUGUUGGAGACCCCUAUUAAGUAGUUAUGGAGAGAAAAUAAAAUGAUGUUGUGUUUUAAUGUUUAGAAGAGAAAAAGGUGCCAAUAGAGACAACUUUAUGCAUGAGCACAAAAUAAAACUGAGGUACCUAGUGACUAGAAUUAAAUGGUACCUUGCUGCUAUUCUAUCAUUUAUUAGGAAAUGAACAAAGAACUAUUUUUCUAGGAUUAAGAUUUACAUUUCAUUCUAUUGAUCUUAUUCUUUGUUAUGAUAUGUUUGCUUCUCAGAUUAUUUUAUUCUUUUUAUUUGGUUAUUGUAGGAUGUAUUGCUAUGUGGUGUAUAUGCACGAAGAGAGGCUACUUAUGGUAACAUUGAUCAUGCAAGGAAAGUGUUUGACAUGGCAUUGUUAUCUGUAGAAGCGCUUCCUGUGGUAUGCUUAGUUUUAUUGCUUAAAUGUCACUUUUUAUUUUUGGUGAGAGAUUCUUUGCUAACUCUUUUUGUAUGGCAAUUUGAAACACAUGCUACCCUUUAAAUAGGAUUUCUCUAUCAAAUUUCUCUUUCUGUCAAUUGUUUUCUCUUUUUUUAGGAUUCCGUGACCUCCUUUCCCUUUUUGAUAUUAUCUCUAUAUUAACAAGUCUUUUUAAAGGAAAAAAAGAUACGUGAAGUAAGCAUGUUUGCUUUUACAUUGUGUUUGGUUGGAGGGGAGUAAGGCAAGGUUUUUUCUAAAAAUAAUUUGUUUGGUUCAAAAAAUUGGAGGGAAGGUAAACAAGGGAUUCAAUACCCCUCCCCGUCUUUUUCUCCUCUCCAAUAUUGAGGGAUUUGGACGGGAGGGAAAAUACUUGAAGUUUCUGGACUGUACUGACUAAAUUAUCUUUAGUGUGAACUUUAAAGGCCUAAUGGUUUUAUUCAUCAAUUAUAACAGCACAAUAGAAAUUUACCAAAAUUUUCCCCACCUUUGAAGUUUGAACUAAAAAUAAACAACAGUGGGUACAUUGCCCAAUUAAAGAUAUGGAGGAUAGCUAACCUACGCAUAAAGGUGAAAUAGUUAGCAUGCUAUGCAUAUAUGUACAAUAACGUCCAUGUGUGCUACAAAAUUGUAGCACUAGCAUUCUGAUAUGUACUUGCAUGUGUGUGUUGUCCCUAAGAUUUUGUGUCUGUGUGUUCAUUCUUAUACAAAAAAAAGGAUCAUAUGAUACAGUUUUUUUUUUUGUAGUUUUUGAAGAAUAAACUAUUUUUAGCCUUUGAGAAAAACACUAAAACAAGUUUCUGCUUUUUUAAAAAACUUACAUAACAUAGUUAUUAUACAUUUUUUUUUGAAACAAAUCUUAUAAUUAAACUUAGAAAAAAGCACAAACUAACAAGCCUUUUGUUUUUUAAUUAAAUAGCUUUAAUACAGGUUUUUUAUGUCACAAAUUCUGCCUGAGUUUUUGUUCUUUUUGAUGAUUGCAUUUUCACUUUAAUGGAGUAGGAACUACAGUCCAGUGCUCCUCUUCUAUAUUUCUGGUAUGCUGAGGUGGAGGUUGCAAAUAACUCUGCUGAUGGUUGUGAGUCUUCAUGUCGUGCAAUACAUAUAUUAUCAUGCUUAGGAAGUGGUACAAAAUACAGCCCAUUUAAAAGUCAAGCUUCAGGUGUGCAACUGCUUAGAGCACAUCAAGGAUUUAAAGAAAAACUAAGAACAGUAUGGUCAUCUUGGGUUCAUGGUGUAAUAAAUGACCAGUCUGUAGCUCUAAUAUGUUCUGCUUCCCUGUUUGAGGAGCUGACUACUGGAUGGGAUGCGGGUAUUGAAGUUUUGAGUCAAGCUUUUUCAAUGGUGCUUCCAGGUUAUGCCUCUUCAUAAUGGAUAUUCUCUUUAGAAAACAUGGGACAUUUAAGACAAGUGUUAUUUUAAAGUUCAAAUAGAUGUUCUUAAUUUUUCUUAACAUUAUCCAAUCUUCCCCAUGACGGUCUUUGUCAUUUUUGUUGGUAACUGGUGGAAACUAUAAUUAUACUAUUCAGACAUCCAAAACUUCUAAGUCCACAUUUUGAACAUGAUGUUAUUUGUAAAUAUUAAGUAAUUUUUUUUUGGUUGCUCUCUUUUGGGGUGGUAGGAUUGCAUGGAAUUGAUAUUUGCUGUAUCUUGAUCUCUGUUGCAUGGCUAUUCCUCCUAAAUGUUAUUAUUUCAGUUUGACCUGUAGACACAUGGAUAGAUUUAAAAUACGUUUUUUGUAUCUUCGAUGGAAAGGAAUUUAACAUGAUUGCAAUUGAAACAUGGUAUGUAAUAAAUAAUAUUUCUAUUGGCCAAGAAACGCACAGGAAGUGCAAUGCCAUGUACUAAAAUGCUCUGAUAUAGUAUCCUGUAGAAGCAGUUUGUAAUGUCGCCUGUCUUUACUGCUUCAUAUUUGGUAUUUAUGAUGUGAAUCUAAUGCUUGCAACCUGCAGAAAGAAGAAGUCAAGGUUAUCAGCUUGAAUUUUUGUUUAACUAUCAUAUAAAGAUGCUUCAAAGACAUCAAAGAGAAUCAAGUCUCAUGAAAGUUUGGGAAUCCAUCUUGCAUGGCCUCCAGAUAUAUCCCUUCAGUCCUGAACUUCUAAAAGAUGUAGUGGAGGUCGGCAAUUAUUACACAACAUCUAAUAAAUUGCGGCGGAUUCUAGAUGACUGUUGUUACAAGUAUGUUCCUUUUCCAUAUAGCUUCAUGAUUUUUUCAAAGGAUGUCAUGGUCUGAUUAGACAGAAAUUUCAAGACAAUAAUAUUGCAACUCGAAAGAUUUUGAAAUUUUGAAAUGGUUUCUUACCCGGGUCAACAAGCACAAGUUAAUUGCUUUUCUUAGGGAAGAUGUAGACCAUUAAUGAAAGUUGUAACUUUUAUCCAACAAGUGAAUUUAAGCUUAAAAUUAGACUUAUGUUACUACUAUAAUGUAUGUUUAAUUUUUUUAAAGAAAAUUGACAUUCAAAAGCUAUUCUAGGAACUUUAUGUGAAAUAUAAAGUGCAGCCCUUUUUUUCCCUGUCAUAUCUUGUUUUGAUCUCAAAGGAAGGAGCCCCUUCUAAGGCAAUGUACUUUCUCUCUCUGCCUGUUGAAAGCAAGAAAUUGGUUUGUUUGUUAAAUUUUUAGCUUUCUACUUCCAAGCAUUACACUAUGAUGUUGUAAAGAGUGCAAGUGGAGUGCUUAAAAACUCUUCGAAGGUUUUGUACAUUGAAGGUUGUUGUAAUUUAGAAGUCCCCCUCCCCUUUUAAGGUUCUAAGUAAUCUAUUUCUCCCUCUAUUUAAAUAGCAGUAAUAUUUGCUUUGUAGACCCGAUAUACAAAUCACUUUUUUUAUGAUAAAUAUUUUAUAUCCUCUUAUUUUAGAUUCAAAUUUCCUUUUUAUUACUGUUACAGUUUUACACGUGUUUUCUGUUUCCACAUAAGUAUAUGUAUGGUAAUUUCAAAUGUUCUAGUUGGUUUGUGCAAAUUUUCUUGGUUAUAAACUAAGCAAUAAUUUGUUCUUUUGUGGUACAUUCUCAGGAAACCAUCUGUAGUUCUCUGGCUUUUUGUGUUGUCAUUUGAAAUGUUUAGAGGUGGUUCACAACACCGAAUCCGUAGAUUGUUCGAAAAGGCAUUGAGUAAUGACGGUCUUAGCAGCUCAGUUGUACUGUGGCGUUGCUACAUUAUGUUUGAGAUGGAAAUUGCAAAUGAUCCUUCUGCAGCUCGUCGUGUUUUCUUCCGUGCUAUCCAUUCCUGCCCCUGGUGAGAACUAUGUUUUAAAUGAUUGAAUGAUAUUUCCUUUGUAAAUUGAGUUUGCCACAGUCGAAGCUGAAAACAAUCCACUUGGGUGUUUAGAGUUGGAGUGUCGUGUACCUCAGCAGUAUAGCCCAGAAGUACAAAACAGGGUGAAAGAAAAAAAAGCAUUUACCGAAAAAUUGUUGUUGGGAAACAAUUUACAAAAGUAGGUGAUUUGCAUGAGAAUUUUUUGGUUAAGCCAAAGUACAUGGCAACAUAUAGGGUUGUAAUCUUGUCUCCGUCCAAGCUGCCAACAUGACUUUAUAGCCUACUCAAAUGUGACACAGAAAGUAGAAAGUAUUGGUUUUUUAGUUGGCGACUUCAGAAGGAAGUUAGUCAAUCAUUUAGCGACACCAAUUAGUCAUAUUUAGUUGGUUUUUAAUUUGUGGUCACCAAAUAGUGAUGAUAUUUCAAAUUGAUGCUUUACGCAACCUAAAAUAAACAAUUAAUCCUAGAUUAAAUUUAACAAUACACCAAUGGCAGUGUAGUUAAUUUUCAUUAAAGUAUUGUUGUGUUUUGGUUUAGUUUUUAUUUUAUUUCUUCUAGUGUAAAUCCUCCAUACCCGAGGUCCAUCUCUUUGGCCUGUUAAUAAUGAACCUCUUUCAAAAUCUGACAGAUUACAGUUUUGUGUCACUUUUGUCUGUUAGCUUACGGGGCACCUGAUCCUGUUCGACCAUCUCUUAUAGCCUGUUUGUUUAACAAACCAAACUCGGUUUAGAGAAUAAAGCACUAACUCUCUGACUUUCUUUUUCAAAAACACACUUUUUGGUAGCAGGCAGACGUUUCAAAUGCAUAAAAUAGACGCAUAAGAGAAAUCAGGUCUAUACACCUUACUUAUCUUCAAGACUCUACCCUAUUGAUUUUAUCUUGAAAUCCAUACCUUAAAGCAGGAGUCUUCUGGAACUAACACUUCCCAGAAACGUGAUAUAGAUUUAACAGAUCCAAAAAAAUGGAAAUUUUCUAUCAGGCAAUACUAUACCUUGUGAUAACUUGAUAUCUCAAGUUACAUUUACACGUCUGCCUUUUUGCUGUGUAUACACAUUUGCUCCUAUUUUUAUUACAUUACUAUUCUCAUUACAUCAUUAUUAAUGUUGAUAUGCAUACCAGGUCAAAAAGGCUAUGGUUGGAUGGCUUUCUCAAGCUUAAUUCUGUCCUUACUGCAAAAGAGCUAUCUGAUCUACAGGAAGUUAUGCGUGAUAAGGAACUGAAUCUGAGAACUGACAUCUAUGAGAUCCUUCUGCAAGAGUCAUGACAUCUACACUCCCAGUGCUGCUGUUUUCCGACUGGUUGAAACGUUGCUAGUGUAGUAUCUGAUGCAUUGCUCUUGUCUUGAUAUGAUGCGACACGUUUGGUACAUUUUUCAGAUUGAGUUUACUUGCAUGGUUAUAGCUUGUGGAAUUGAUACAUUGUAGUAUAAGUGUAAAUUUAGGGGUAUAUCUGAACUUGCAAUGCACUUGUAAAUAAACAUUGGAAUUGAAAGAAAAACAAAAUAUCAGGAACCUAAGGUUGCUUGCUUAUGUUCAAUUGAUUGCCUAAAUUAAAAAAAGAAAUCAGUUGAUAGCAGUUUGCUGAUAAAAUGUUUGAUUGGUGCUCUAUUUGAGUGGUCCACUGGAAAACUUGAUGUGCUUCACUCACUUUUUAUUCUUAUUUUUUUUAAAAAUAUAACAAUUUUUAAAAUUUAAACUUUAAAUAAUUAGACUGAAAUCAAGAUGUUAUAUAACUUUAAUAUUUAAAAAGUUAAAUACAUAUAUAAUUUUAAUAUAUUAUACAAUUAAUAAAAAUAUUGUUUACACUUAACAUAAAUUUUCGAUUAGCUUUCCAAUUCCUUUGAAAGGUCUUCUUAAUUAGUUAGGUUUUUAUAAAAGUCUUAUUUUCAGAAGCAAAUUUGACAUGAUUUUCCUGCACCUCCAUAUCUUCUUCUGGCAAAAAUACAUUUUUAUCCUUCUUGUGUCAGUCCCAUAGAAUAACUUCCGGAUUAUGUAAUCCGGAAACACAUUUGGAAAAAGACUUCCAGAUUACAUAAUUCGGAAGUUAAAAAAGACUUUCAGAUUAUGUAAUUCGUAAAGUAAUCAUGCAUCUGAAAAAAAAAAACUUCUGGAUUAUAUAAUUCGAAGGUUAAUUACAAAUUUAAAAAAUGACUUCUGGAUUAUGUAAUUCGAAAUAUUACAGAAAGAUAGUUUUGGAAAUACGAAAAUCUAUAGAGAUGAGAGAAGAAGGUAUGGAGUUGCAGGAAGAAGCAACCCAUGAUUUGAUAUGAUAUAAGUCUGUCUCCAGACUGAAUUGAAUAAUCUAACUUUUUCUAUCCCUAAUUAGGAUGAUAUUGUCAAAUAAAAAGAUUUUUAUUUUGAUGAUUUGUAAAAUUGUCAAAAUUUUACAUUAUUUGUGUUGGUCUCACAGUAAAUAAUCACUGUUAAAUAACUCGUUAUCGUGACAGCGUAAUAUAUUUUACAUUUCAAAAAUUAUAUACUAUUAUAAUUAAUAAAUAAUAAAUCAAUUGUUGUACAUGCAGAGUUAAUGCAGGUCACGUAUUAUUGGGACAAUUUCUUUAUUAAGUUAAUAAUUCUUUAACAAAAUUACAAAGUGAUAGAAUGGUCAAUGACAAGGAAUUAAAAAAGAAACAUUGAAUAAAAAUAAAAAUAAAUUGAUUUAUUUUCAGUGCUCACAGUAUCAUCUAUUUUUAUGUAUUAAAGUAUCAUAUAAAGUGGUAGGUGUAUCCUAAUAACUAAAAACAACACGUGUAAAAGACUCUUAGUCGUGCUGAAAAAUUAAGAUUUGAAAAAUUAACAAUAUCAUUUUAAAAAAAUUGAGGAAAAAAGUCUUAAGACAGAUUUUUUAAUUUCAUUCAACAUUAAACAUGUAUAACAUUAUGUUUUAUGUUAGAAACAUGUAUUUUUUUCAGAGUAUAUUGAUUAAUGUAUAUACUCUUAUUUUAUAAAAAAAUAUCAUACCAAAUUAUAACUGUAUCACUACAAUAAAAUAAUCAAGAAACCAAUUUUAAAAAAUAAAAAAUAAUUAGUUACUAUAAUAACUAAAUUAGAAACUAUUUAGAAAUUAAAAAAAUUAUUGAUUUAUAAAUUAGUUUCUAAUAUUGAUAAAUAAUUUUUAAAUUGGUAUCUAAUUAGGUAUCAAAAUUUUAGCAACUAAUUAUUUAAAUUCUAAAUUUAGUAGAAAAAUCUUUCAUGUUAGAUCUCAUUAUACAAUUUGACAUCUUAACUAAGCUGACACCUCAAGCAACAACAAUUAUCUACCAUCUUUUGAGCUUCCUCUAUGACCUAUAUAACUCCAUAAAACUUCAAAAAACAUGGAGAAAACACCAAUAAACUUCUCGUACUAAUGAAACUUUUAAUUUCUUUAGGUUUCAAAUUCAAGUUUUACAAAUUAAAAACGUAAUGAAAAAAAAUAAAAUUAUACUAGUGAAAAGAAUAAUCAAACUACUUUAGUAAAUAGCUUGUGUUAAUAACAUAAAAAUACUCAUAAUAAAAUAAUGGUAUGAGAAUGUUGGAAAACAAAUAAUUUUACUAUAUUCCUGAUGUUGACUUGCCAAAACAUAUCAUUCUCUACUACGAUGUGACAUAUACUUUGACUUUUCCAUUUUUUUUUCUGUAUUUCUGACUUAGUUAUUUUUGUUGUCUAAGUUUUACUACACCUUAUGACAGAUAAUUUCUGUUGAAAACAAUUUUUUUUGUUCAAACAAGCCAUAUUAUUACGUAGUUAACUGGCUCAUGGUAUCUCACAGUCAUGUGUUUUCAAUUGUACGAUAAGAUUAAAUAACAUACAAAAAAUAAUUAUCAGUGUUUGAUUAUUGCAAGUAAAUGUUUGUGAUCAAACGUGUCAAGCCAUAAAUUCCUCUUGAAGUCAACUCUAUGAUGCUAAACAUGAACAAUGAGUGCUUAGUUUAUUCAUUUAUGUUUAAGGUUUGAUAACAGAGCAACUCUGACAUCUGGAUAUCUCUGAAGCUAUGUGAAAGACAUGAACAAUGAGAUGAAACUAUUAUUUAUUCUCUGCUAAUCCAAUACUACUUUUGAACUAAGUAAUUAAGUAUACAAGAGUUUUUUUAAUAUAAUAAAAAAAAUAAAAAAUAAGAUGAGAAUAUUUACUAACAAACUCUAAGAAAAUAUCUAUUUUGUAAUCCCUUUUCUCUUCUAUUCAAGAAUGUUGUAUUCGGAAAGCAUCAAUCCUCCCUACACCUUUGAAUACUUCGUAUUUAAAUCACGGUUUGAGAUAUUCUGCUUAUCUAUCUUCUUCAUCUUUCACUUUUACCAUCGGUGAGAAUGAAAAAACAAACUUUUUGUGGUUUAAUUAAUGUUUCUUUUUCUUUUUCAAGAGUUCUUUCUUUGCUGAUAGAGACAUUUGUUUUUAUCAUGUAUGACUUGGUCUCUUAUUUCUCUUCUUACAUUGCACUCACCACUUUGCUUGCACCAUUAUCACUUUGAAGCUGUGCACUACAUAACUGUCAAUCUAUGAUAUAUAAAUCCUAAGUCAAAUCAGAAGACAACAAACAUCAACAAAAUACCUUAACCAACAGUUGAAUAUCCAAUAAUUAUCUUCUCAAACUUUGCUGGCAGUUCACUACAUGCAUGCAUAUCACUAAUAAAGCUAUGAUGGCAUCAUUAUAUAUAAUCACAGCAUGCCUGGCUGAACACACAACUCCACCACUUACCAUCUUAUCCUUUUCAUAAACCUCUUCUCAACCAUCCAUGACAGUUCCUCCAAUAAGUUUUGUUCUAGGAGUAGCACUUUGGGUGCUAUUCUUCUCAAAACCUUGUCUCACAGUGUUUGUAAGCAUUGAUUGUGGAUCCUCACAAUCUUCCACUGAUGAAAACAACAUAAGAUGGGUUGGAGAUGGUGACUACAUUCAACAUGGAGAGUCUCAUGAUGUCUAUCUAGGUUCUAAUCCAUUGAGCACUCUGAGGGCAUUCCCAAAUAGAAAAAAGAGUUGCUAUUCCAUCAGAGUUGGGAAAGGAGAAAAAAUUCUUACCCGAGCAAGCUUUUACUAUGGCAAUUAUGACAAAAAAUUCUCUCCACCAGUGUUUGAUCUUCAGUUUGAUGGCAACUACUGGGCCACAGUCAACAGCUCAAGUUACUAUUAUGUAGAUUAUGAAGCAAUAUAUAUUACAAAGGGAAACUUCACCAGCAUAUGUGUUGCUCAAACAAAGCCUAACCAGAUUCCCUUCAUAUCAUCCCUUGAAGUACGUAGCUUGGACCCCACAAUGUACAGUCAUGUUGAUCCCAAUCAUGCAUUGAUUUUGCAAUGGAGAUAUGCUUUUGGUGGAAAUCAAACUAUAAGGUAUUAGCAAUUACCCUCACUCAGUAGUAGAUUUAUGAACUAUGAUAAGUAGAAGUAUAUGUUAUGAACUUAUGGUAUUUGAACAAAAAGUUUGAAUUUCCUCACUCUAUAUAGUAUAUAGAAGGAUUCCCUUAUUCCAACUAUAGCAAGUUUUGAAACACUCUUCCCUUGAACAACGUCCAUGAAUGCUAAAGUUUAACUGUUGAGUAAGAAGUUUUUUCUUCAUAGCUAAACUACCUCCCAAAAUUUCUAUAUAAUUUUAAACAGAGUUUAAUUUUCAUAUAAAGACUUUUAAAUUGUAGACCUAGACCAAUGUAAUGUUAGUUAAGAGUUGUAAUUAUUAUUUACAAAAACUAACCAAUUUAGUAUGAUAUUUGUGGCUGAAUAGACUGUAAAAGCUCUUCACAUUAUUGGUGAAUUAGAUUGAAUGGCAUUUGGAAGCAGCACUUCAUUUUAUUUUAUUGUAUAAUACACUUUCCAAAAGAAAAAUGUUUGCCAUCAAAUUUGGUGUUUGAUAUUGUUAUUGUUGCAUCAACUGGAAUAUGGUAGGUACCCAGAUGAUGUUUUUGAUCGAAUAUGGACGCCAUCAUUUGGUAUAGGUCUUUCUGAAGUGAAAAGUGAGGCAUCAGGUAUUGACACUAGUACAGCAGAAGAUCAUCCACCACAAGCUGCACUUGGAAAUGCAGUUAUUUCCUCAAGCACUACACAGAACAUGCAGUUCAUCAAUAGGCUGCCCACAGAGGAGCUU
rnacentral:lncRNA from 1 species